UGACAACUCUUUCAGAUUAAGUCAGUGGCA
rnacentral:piRNA from 1 species